rnacentral:rRNA from 1 species
AACGAACGCUGGCGGCAUGCCUAACACAUGCAAGUCGAACGAAGGCUUCGGCCUUAGUGGCGCACGGGUGAGUAACGCGUGGGAAACUGCCUAUUGGUGGGGAAUAACGACGGGAAACUGUCGCUAAUACCGCAUAAGCCCUUCGGGGGAAAGAUUUAUCGCCGAUAGAUGUGCCCGCGUCCGAUUAGCUAGUUGGUGAGGUAAUGGCUCACCAAGGCGACGAUCGGUAGCUGGUCUGAGAGGAUGAUCAGCCACACUGGGACUGAGACAAGGCCCAGACUCUCACGGGAGGCAGCAGUGGGGAAUAUUGGACAAUGGGCGAAAGCCUGAUCCAGCAAUGCCGCGUGAGUGAUGAAGGCCUUAGGGUCGUAAAGCUCUUUCGGGUGGGACGAUGAUGACGGUACCACCAGAAGAAGCCCCGGCUAACUUCGUGCCAGCCGCCGCCGUAA